CUCAAACCUCAUUUUGUGACAUUACGGCGCCCGUCGGUGCAACGAGACCCGCGGCGGUCACACCGCUUUAUCCCCGCUUCCCUUUCACAAACUGUCUCAUUCUGUUAAAUAUAAAUGUUAUCAUCUUCUUAUUGAAGUGCAUCGAUUUAAGUAAGAGUGAUUUUUUUUAUCAACGCUGGCAGAAGAACGACAGCUUUACGGUUUGAUUGACGCGUCCUUCGCGCAAUGAGUCAGCGGGGGCGGGACGACGAGGCCGAGCCGCGCGCUCUGAUUGGCUGCGGGACGCGUCCGUCAAGGCUGGAAAUAUGCGGGAGGGACGUGAAGUGGCCGACAUCCUCCUGACCCAAAUUGGAUGCGUGUGUGAUGGCCCAUUGUGUUUUCAUUGACUGUUUGCGAUUCAGCGCCACUAAUAUCAAUAAAUCCUCAGAUUUAUGGCGUUAUAUUUGUGCCACAAUUCCGACGCGAGCAAAAGAUGAAGUACGCGAGCGCACCUACAAUUUUGUGCGCUCGCUCGACCCGCCUCUCUCUCGCUCUCUCAAUCUGCCUCCUGCGCUCGCUCGAAGAGCCCUGUGCGCUCGCUCCACAGUGUGCGGUGUUAGAAUUCUGCCACGCUGAUUGGUUGCUGCGGCUCCAAUCAGAUUUUAGCAUUCCGGAAGUACGUCUAGAACCAACGAAGAAGAAGAAGAGAACGUAAAUAAACAGCAAACCUUUUGAUUUCGACAACGGAAAGUUUACCACCACAGCCACAAGACAUCCAUCAGACCUGUUUCCCCCAGACACAACUGACUGGUUGCCGUUAGUGGAUCUGGGCCACAACAAGGUCCCAGCACCACCUCCAGCAGCCCAGGCCCGUGAUGAACGUGCUAGAAGCCGCAACAAAAGGAGGAAAGAUUCAGAAGCUGCUGAGAGUUUGGUGGCUUUACAGAACAUGUCAUGAAGUGACUGUGUGACCAGUGGUUGUGAACCACUGGAGGAGCAGACCUAUAAGCUGCAGCCAGAAGAGGAUGGAACUGAUCAGGAGUGUCAGGCCUGAUCUCACUGGCAUCCUGGUCACUGGCAUGCAGGAUGAGAUCAACUCUCUCACUGCAGAGAAUUUAGAAUGAAAAAACAAACUGACAGCUACUGAAAUUGGAGAAGAAACAUUAAAGAUGAUGACGAGAAUGUUCGUUUUUAUACAGGGCUACCAACAUAUGCCAUAUUGAUGAUGAUGAUGACGAUGAUGAUGAUGACAAAAUUGUGCACCUGUGCUGUGCACUGAUGAACAUCAGUGACACCAUUGUGCCUUUUGACUAAACUGUAAAUGUUUCUGUGCAGUAUUAAAGAACAGCUGUAUUCUUUUUCA